UUCUAAAAGGAUUCUUUGCUUGAACAUGCCUGAUCUUGUCUUAUCUUGGAAGCUAAGUAGGGUCGGGCCCGGUUAGUACUUCAAUGGGAGACCACAUAGGAAAACCUGGUGCUGUAGGCG
ensembl:rRNA 5S_rRNA 5S ribosomal RNA